UGAAAUUUGAAAAAAAAGGAACUCUAAUGUUUGUAAGCGUUCUGCAGCUGCUCUCUGCACCUCUAAAUAAACAAAUUCAAUCAACUCAACAAGUAGUGGGAUACCACCUUCAAUGCCAUAAUCACAAAAUAUAGAUGAAGAGGAUGGUGUGUGCCUUUUCAGGAGACUUAAAGGAUGAAGAAAAACUCCAUCAUCAACAAUCAAUUGUUUGUGUUCUACAUGGCUUGGCAUCUUUGUGAUACAGAAGCCGAGAGGGUAUUACAAAGGUUAGAUACAACAUGAUGUAGUUUCAGCUCACCCGACAUAUGAACAUAGAUAACAGAUUAUGGACAACUCGAAUUAGGAUAAAAGAUUUACAGGGAAAUGGAGGUGAUCAAAUUUGAAGGAUCGCCACAAGUCAAUUUGAUCUUAUUAAAGUGGAUAAUGAAGAGUUUUUGAACUAUUGUAAAAGUUUGAGUACAUUAUCUUUGAUUUUGUGCAAUAUAUUCAUUGCUAGAAUUAAUUGAACUAUUGUAAGAAUACUUUUUGUACUAUUAUUUAGACAUAUUUAGAUUAUUAAUUUAUAGGUAUGUGCAUGU